GACGGCUCAUCAUGUAUAAAAUGGUGCUGAAAGGACACUAAGUUUCCACUGGUUAAAGUGAAUCUCGUAGAAAUAGUCGACACAAAACACACCACUUUUGACAAGAUCUGAGAUGAGAAUGCAGGAGGACAUCGUCACAAGUUUCCUGGAAGGGUGCUGCAGUCCAUUGGAGGCCUGUCUCCGCUCUGAUAGCAGCCCUGGAGCCCAGAUGAUUGAUGAAGGCGAGGGCAAGGCCGAGCGCUGGCAGCAUAAAGCCCCAUAGACGCAUCAAUAAAGCCUGGCUAGUGGAGGGCCUGGGCCUGCUCAAUAGCCACCGCCUACGAGGAUUCAGGCAAGCAAGCGGAGAGGGGAAGGUGCUCUGUUGUUCCCUAAUCCGUUUAGCCAUUGAGCCACCAGCCGUCUGAGGCUGGAUAAGUGCAGCGACGGAUGUGUGCGGGGGUGAAAAUAGCAGGGAGUGGAGGGCUGGAGAGGACCCGCGGGGGGAGAUAUAGUGGGACGCAUACAGUUCACACACAACUGAUUGAAGGAUAGAGGGAGAGGGAGAUGGAGAAAGAGGCUGAUGAUUACCCAGCUUCCUCCAGGGUAGAAGGGAAGGGAAGAGCCAGCCAUCAUGGGUUGGUGGGUGAGGGAAUAAUGGUUGGUUAGUGUGCAUUUAUUUCAUUGAUUGCAUACCGGACAGUACAGGUGUUUGUAGUUGCUUGAGUAUGUAACGCAUAUUAUUUAUCUUAACAUGUUAUGACAAAGUUCAGUUCUAAUCUAACUAAAAAGGCACAUACUCCUCAGGCAAUAUACUGGAGAAAACACAGAGGCAAAACAAGAGAACAUCUUGGACAAUAGUUCAAGAGUUGUUUCCCUUCUUGCACAUCUAUAAGCAAGAAUUCCAAAUAGGCACCAGCUAAUCAAAAGGCCUUUUUAAAAGUAUUACACUUGCACCAAGCAACAGGAGUCCAAUUGGUCAGCCAUUGACCCCUGCUCCACAGACCCCUACCCCACUGAAGCUUGGGGAAUCCCUGUCAUCCUAAAAAUGCAUUUGUCCAGUGUGUCCACCAUAGUGGCCAGCCAGACCUCAUGCAGGCCAUAGUAACUCCAGCGUACCACAUUCCUCAAUGGCACAAUUAGGCUACAAUCAUCUCCUACCAAGCCAGCUUUUCACUGACCCCAGGCCCAUUGCAGCUACACGGUACCCUGUAGCACGGCCUGGUUGGAGAUGGAGGGAGGGAGGAGGGAGAGUGAUGGGGUCUGUGCCCUGUGGCUCCAGUCUGCCCUAUGACACUCACUCCCAGAAGGCCUCAGAUGUUAGUAGAAUGGACAUUCCCAAUCAAAGCAAUGUCCCAUGAUAGCGGGACUAUCUGGACAUUCUAUUUUUAUGUCUCAGCUGAGCUCUCCACUGAUCCCUCUACCUCAACCAUUCUCCGACCCAUGCGAUUUCAUAAAAAGGGGCAAUUCAACCCGAAAUCCAAGUUUCUAAGAUGAUGAUCUUUCCAGUCAUUUGUGGUUGAUGUCUACAGAUUUGUCCUAAUUGAUGUUUGAUGUAGAAGGAUACAUCUGGUAUGUUUAAAAUGUUUUCAUUUGUUUAUAUCUUAGAGAGGAUGACAGUUUUGAAGAUAUGUUUUCUCAAAAAAAAUUCUAAAAACAAAUUUGUUGUGUCUGCAAUAACUACAAGUAUAUGUAGCCUAAUAAAAAUUAUUUUCAUAUAAA